rnacentral:rRNA from 1 species
CACAGCCACGGUAAUACGUAGGUGGCAAGCGUUGUCCGGAAUUAUUGGGCGUAAAGCGCGCGCAGGCGGAUCGGUCAGUCUGUCUUAAAAGUUCGGGGCUUAACCCCGUGAUGGGAUGGAAACUGCCAAUCUAGAGUAUCGGAGAGGAAAGUGGAAUUCCUAGUGUAGCGGUGAAAUGCGUAGAUAUUAGGAAGAACACCAGAGGCGAAGGCGACUUUCUGGACGAAAACUGACGCUGAGGCGCGAAAGCCAGGGGAGCGAACGGGAUUAGAGACCCCGGUAGUCCCUGUCUCUUAUACAC